rnacentral:rRNA from 1 species
UACGUAGGUGGCAAGCGUUGUCCGGAGUUACUGGGCGUAAAGGGCGUGUAGGCGGCCUUUUAAGUCAGACGUGAAAUGCCAAGGCUUAACCUUGGAGCUGCGUUUGAAACUGGAGGGCUUGAGGACCGGAGAGGGUAGUGGAAUUCCCAGUGUAGCGGUGAAAUGCGUAGAUAUUGGGAGGAACACCAGUGGCGAAGGCGACUGCCUGGACGGCACCUGACGCUGAGGCGCGAAAGCUAGGGGAG